rnacentral:rRNA from 1 species
CAAUUAGGGCGAACCCGUCUCUGUGGCAAAAGAGUGGGAAGAGCUUCGAGUAGAGGUGACAGACCUACCGAACCUAGUAAUAGCUGGUUGCCUGGGAACUGGAUAGAAGUUCAGCCUCAUGGCUUCUCCCUUCACCUCCGUACUAACUUCCUCCGGAUACUGUAAGAAACCAUGAGAGUUAGUCAAAGGGGGUACAGCCCCUUUGAACCAAGAUACAACUUUUACAGGUGGGUAAAGAUCAUAAUAAUUAAGGAAAAAUGUUUGGGUGGGCCUAAAAGCAGCCAUCCCCAUAGAAAGCGUUAAAGCUCGGACAUACUCUUCCUCCUCUUAUCCUGAUAACUUCAUCUUAACCCCCUAACCUUACCAGGCCGCCCCAUGCCAACAUGGGCGUGACCAUGCUAAUAUGAGUAAUAAGAGAGCCCUACCCCUCUCUCCUCGCACACGUGUAAAUCGGAACGGACUACCCACCGAAACUUAACGGCCCCAAACAAAGAGGGUAUUGAAAAAUUACCUAAACAAACCAGAAAACCAUCCAUCUCCUUACCGUUAACCCCACACUGGUGUGCCACAAAGGAAAGACUAAAAGAAAGAGAAGGAACUCGGCAAACACAUAAAGCCUCGCCUGUUUACCAAAAACAUCGCCUCUUGCAAAACUAAAGAAUAAGAGGUCCCGCCUGCCCAGUGACAACUAGUUCAACGGCCGCGGUAUUUUGACCGUGCAAAGGUAGCGUAAUCACUUGUCUUUUAAAUGAAGACCUGUAUGAAUGGCAUAACGAGGGCUUAGCU